rnacentral:rRNA from 1 species
AUUGAACGCUGGCGGCAGGCCUAACACAUGCAAGUCGAGCGAGCGGCGGACGGGUGAGCAAUGUAUGGGAAUCUGCCUGAUGGAGGGGGAUCACUACUGGAAACGGUAGCUAAUCCCGCAUACCAUCAUAUGAGCCCAGAUGGGAUUAGCUAGUAGGUGGGGAAAAGGCUCACCUAGGCGACUAUCCCUAGCUGGUGUGAGAGGAUGACCAUCCACACUGGGACUGAGACACGGUCCAUACUCCUACGGGAGGCAGCAGUGGGGAAUAUUGCACAGUGGGCGCAAGCCUGAUGCAGCCAUGCCGCGUGUGUGAAGAAGGCCUUCGGGUUGUAAAGCACUUUCAGCGAGGAGGCGUUACUCGCAGAAGAAGCACCGGCUAACUCCGUGCCAGCAGCCGCGGUAAUAC